UGAAAGAGACUCAAUUGCCAUGCGCUCUGUGGGUGUUUUCAAAGUAGGGUUUUUAAUUGGAGCUUCUCUGACUUUUUGCAUGAUCACUGGUCACUAUAACCCUUGACUAAGACUGAUGAUUAAUGGCUCUUGGUGUAUUCUACUUCUCUUCAUGUUACGGUGUUUGACUACGAAUCUACUUUAAACUGCUACAAAAAUCAACCUUCUUUGCUCUUGAAUUGAAAAAAAAACAAUGCCUCCAAAGGUCAUCAACUUCGUUCAAAGAGAUUUUACAAGGUUGUCCAUGGCUGGAAACAGUGUCUCUUCGGAAAGUUGUUGUAUACAUCUUUGAAAUGCUGCUCUGAGUGCUUUUGACUCAAAUAUGUCCCUUAUAGUCUUGUGGCCUUGGAUUUCCAUGACUGGGCUUUCAAUAGUGAAUAUGGAAGCUCCUUCACUAUUUGGACUGCUAUUGAUGCUUUGAUUUCUUAUUC